GUGACUGUAGCUCAGUUGGUAGAGCGUCGCCCUGUGGAGGCGAAUGUCGCGGGUUCGAAUCCCGUCAGUCACC
rnacentral:tRNA from 1 species